AGCUCAUACUCCAGUGAGGGAGGCAAUAAGCAAGUAACCAAGCAGGUCCAGUUCUCCAGGAAACAGACUGUAAGAUGGAGAUCUGCAUUCAGAAACUUUGUAGAGAAGUGCUUAAAGAACCACAGCUGUGAAGGAUAAGAGAAACAGGCCUGAGCAGAAGGAGAAGUUGCACUUGAUUGCAACAGAAGCUUCAGCCAACUCCACAAGGAACUACCAAGCCGGGAUGACCCUUCAGUAAUGCCUACGAUGAGUCCUGGCAGUGCCAACUUGAUUAGAGAAGGGUUGUAACCUUGGGCUAAGCAGCUGCCUUCAAGCAAGGGCAACUUCUGACAGAGGACUCAGCUGUUCGCCUUCAGCAGCCAGCGCACUGUUAGC
rnacentral:lncRNA from 10 species